UAAGAUAUUUUGAGUGAAUUAGAGAGAGAAAGUGGGAGCAAGAGGAGAAAAGGGUUAGAGAGAAGGAGGACUUGAAGAAUCAAGGGAUGAAGAGAGCUAGGAGCAAAAUUGAAGCCUAAGCUAUAGAGAUUAACCUAACUAAGGUAAGGGGGUUAGAAUUCAUCAUAAUCAUUUAUUGCAAUUUUCAAUUAUUUGUAUGAAAAGUGCUUAAUUGGGUGAAUUGAUUAAUUGUUCAUAAGUGAUGAAAUUCGUGCUCUAAUUAUGAUGACAUGUUUAGAUGUAUGAAGUUAUGGAUAAUUGGAUUGUUGUUAGUUGAAUUACAUGUUCAAAGUAUGAAAAAUGGGUAUGUGUUGAAAAUAUGCUCAAUUUGUGACAUGCUAUGUUGUUGAUGAAUUGUGAUAAGUUUCAUGAUCAAUUGUCGUUGUUGUUGAUAUGUCAUGUUGUUGAUGAUAAUUCAUGGCUUGGGUUGGCAUGAUUCAUGAUUUGUGUGGAGAAAUGAGAUGUUGUUGGUGUUUUGAUGAAAAAUGGUGAAUUGGUCCAAUUGUCAAGUGUUUUCAUGUUUGAUUGAGUCUUUGUGAGUCUUUUAGUCAUUUUGACCUGUAAACAUCAACUGGAAACACAUUUGGGCAAUGAGGGAUCAAAAUUGGGGAUUUUGGAUAAAAAGGGGGUUCAAACCCGUAACAUUUUUUGCUGAACUGUGAACAUUCGCUUAGAGGUUCGCUUAAGUGACCAGUAAGCGAACAUUCAUACUCUUUUCUGAGUUCAGUUCGCUUAAGCGAACUGCGAGCAAACCGGUAAGCGUGCAUUUUUGGUAGCUACUGGAACUCGUUCCCUUAAGCGAACAUGUGGUCGCUUAAGCGAACUGGUGAGCGACCAGUCAGCGACCAGAAAGCGUGCAAGUGUGUUGGCUACUGGAGCUCGUUCGAUUAAGCGAACAAGCCCAGUUUUCAACCACUUUGAUCUUUGUUUCGGGUUUUUGGGGGUCAAUCCGAACUUUGUAAAAUGAUCCUUUACACAUGUUUAACUACUGUUUAAGCCUCUAAACUCACUGGAACAUGAUUAGCUUGCAUAAACAUGAAAUUGUUCAUUUGAGUCUUAACUUGGAAGUUUUGGGAAUUCUAGACUUUUGUCGAAAACAAACUUUUGUAAACAAUGGAACUUACAAGUUGAACCUACAACUCAUAUAUACUUAGGUAAGACUUGUAAGAGUGGUCAAACAUCUUAAUCAUGUAAAAAGUGAUAUUUCGGGUGGGAAUGUGAAAGGUUGUGAAAUUGGGUUUUUCAUACGAACUUAAGUUAUUCUUGGAUUAAAGUCUAAUAGUCCGGAGACGACUCAAGUUCAUGAAUACAUGAUUGAUUAAGAUUGUUUGAGAACUUUCAACUUGUCUAUGUUGUUUUGUCUUGGGAUUUAUCAAUGUUGGUCGGUUGCCACUUGAUACGGUUUUUGGUCGGAAUGUUCUUGAGCCAAUUGUCUUAUGAUUUGUUGUGACCAUUCUUAUAUGACUAAGUAAAGUUGUAUGAAUGAGUGAUUAUAUUUGGAUAUGAUGUUUAUCAUGAAAUGUGUAUAUUAUCUUACUUAGAAUGUAAGGAAUGCUUGAAUGGGAAAAUUAUAUGUAAUAGUUGAUGUUGAAUGACAUUGUUGAUUAUUGAUAAUCAUGUUAAUGUGUGAUGGUGAAUACUAUGAAUUAUUUGUGUAUGGGCAUGUUUUCUUGAUAAUGCAAAUGAUGUGGAGAUGAACAAUAUAAUUGGGAAGUUGUCCUAUAUAUUGUGGUGAAAAUUGUGGAUUGUUGUCGCAUUAUCGAGUCUUGUUACAUGUCCAUGCAUCAUAGUCAUGUUGAGAUUGUAGUUGUAAAAGGGUUGAACUCUUUUACUUCGGAGAUUAUGUAAGACGGAUGUGAAAUCUUACAUACGAUUUUGUUGCAUCGAAGGUGAUGACCUUGAGGUGAUCCGGUACCACAUGCAUUUAUGUGUCAAUAAGUGCAUAUCAUGACAUGAGUCUUAUUUGAAUUGUGAUUGGUGAUUGUGUAUGAAUAGCUGUGAAUUGAUGAUUGUUCAUGACACAUGUGAUUGGUGAUUUAUUGAUGUGAGAUAUUAGGAUUAUGAUAAUAUGUAGGCUUAUUUGAUUAAAUGGUCCCCUAAUUAAUUUCACGUUUUCAUUUUGGUCUCAUAAUUAAUAAAACAUACGUUUUAGUCCCUCACUUUUUCCUCCGUUUGCCAAAUAAAUCCUGGGCUGUCAAAACAAUAAAAGUUCUGGUAAUGACAAUCCUUCACUUUUUUAAUUUAAGCCGUUUGAUCUUUUUAAUUAAAAGAGGAUCGUUAGAUUAUGCAUAUCUACUGUAUCUUCCAUGAGUCAACAACACUUGAUUUUUUUCCCAUUUCUUCAUCUUCUUCCCCCAAUUUAUUCUUCAUCUUCAUAAUAUUCAUAAAAAAAAUCCAGAAAAUAAAAAUAAAAAACCAGAAUCAAUUCUAUUACAAUCACCCUAACAUUUAAAUAACUUAUGAGUUAUGAACCUUUACCUAGUCUAUCAUCCUGAAUUACCAAUUCACGUUUCAUCUUCCCAAGCCUCCAUUAUCUAAAACUUUACCAUUCAAUCCUUCCCCUCAAAUCAUCUUCCCAAGCCUCCAUGAUUCAUCCUUUCGAAUCAUGGAAACUAUUUGAAUUUUAGGAUUUUGUAUCAAAUAUCCAGAUAAAAAGAGAUAAAUUAUGGAAACCCCACAUUAAUUUUAACAAUCGAACUAUUGGGGAUUAUAUGAUUUGAAAAUCAACUACUGAAAAUUUCAAUAAAAAACAGUUUGGAUCUUUCGCCGGAACUGUUGGUGGUUGUGGGUUUCGCCGGAAUUGAUGGUGGAAGGUGAGGGAAAGAAGAAAGUGAUGAAGCAAGAUGAGGAAUAUCUGAACGCGCUAAAAGGAAAAUGGGUUUUAUUUCAACAACGUUGUUACUGUAUCUAGAACUCAACAACGACCGUCGAAGAUGAAUCUGCAACGCCGAUUCAGUAAUUCUAACAUUUGAGUUCCCUUCGGCAGUUGAAACUUUCUCAUCCUCAUUCAUCAUAUUUGAAGAUGACAGGUCAUGCAUUUUGAUUUUUUUUACCCAAGUCUCAAACUACAACCAACGACGAUGGCGGAAGAGAGAAUUGAUGGUGGUGGAAAAAAUUGAUUUUUUUUUAUUGUAUGGUUUUAGUUAAUUAGAAGAAAUUAGGGCUUGAUGGGGUUUGGGUUAAUUUGAUUUUGUGUUUUAUGAGUUUUUUUUGUUGGUAUUUUUUAUGAAGAUUGAUGAUGAAGAUGAUAUAUUGAUGAAGGAAGAAGAUGAAUUAAUUAGGGCUUCAUGAUCCAACGCUCCUCUUUUUAAAAAAUAAAUCGAAUGGUUUAAAUUAAAGAAAUUAAUAGGUUCUGCAGUGGACUAUAUAUAAUGUUGGUACACUAUAGGCAUUUAGGGUUAAACUUAACAGCCAUGAUUUAUUUGGCAAACGGAGAAAAAAGUGAGGGAUCAAAAUGUACGUUUUAUUAAUUGUGGGACCAAAAUGAAAAUUUGAAAUUAAUUAAGGGACCAUCGGAUCAAAUAAGCUUAAUAUGUAUAUAUGAAUAUCAUUAUUGAUCAAGUAUAUGAUUUUUGAAUUAAAUUAUUCAUGUUAACUGUUAUUUGGAUUAUGAUGAUGUAAUACUUAUCCCUAGUGGUUUUGACCGCCUACCUGUCUGUAUGGAUGGGUAGACGUUGUACAGAAGUAGUUGCUCUGGUGAGUCUUUUGUACUGGUGGAUAUCGGGAGCUUUCUCCGAUAUCGGUGUUGUAGAGUCUAGGUGACUCUAAUCUAGGCGUCGUCAUAGUCUAGAUUAUCUUUAUUUGGAUUAUUGUUCAUGACUGGAGAUUUACCCGUAUGUUGGGAUUUUGAGAUUCAUCUAUGUUGAUAUAGUAUUGAUUCAUGACAUAUGUAUUUUGAGUACUCUGGUUUAUAUUCCGCUGCG
rnacentral:lncRNA from 1 species